CCUACGGGCGGCAGCAGUGGGGAAUAUUGCACAAUGGGGGAAACCCUGAUGCAGCGACGCCGCGUGAGUGAAGAAGCGUUUCGGCGCGUAAAGCUCUGUCAGCGGGGAAGAAACACGGUUCGCGAGAGCCGCGGACGGUACCCGACCAAGAAGCCCCGGCUAACUACGUGCCAGCAGCCGCGGUAAUACGUAGGGGGCAAGCGUUAUCCGGAUUUACUGUGUGUAAAGGGAGCGUAGACGGCUGAGCAAGUCUGAAGUGAAAGGCGGGGGCCCAACCCCCGGACUGCUUUGGAAACUGUAUAGCUAGAGUGCAGGAGAGGUAAGUGGAAUUCCUAGUGUAGCGGUGAAAUGCGUAGAUAUUAGGAGGAACACCAGUGGCGAAGGCGGCUUACUGGACUGUAACUGACGUUGAGGCUCGAAAGCGUGGGGAGCAAACAGGAUUAGAUACCCGAGUAGUC
rnacentral:rRNA from 1 species